rnacentral:lncRNA from 1 species
AAACCGCAGUGCUACCUGGAGGCCUCCAACACCAGGAGCAGUGCGGGGAGCCUCCCCAAAUCGGAGGCCCCGGAGCCGGGUUCAGACGUGGCUCUGGAGACAGAGACGCCAAGUCCUGGAGAACCCGCAGCCUGGUCGGUGCCCUGGCCACUUAGCCCCAGGAUGGAUGAGGAGGGAAAGGUGGGACACUGCCUCCUGAUGGUUACUGGAACGUGCCCACCUGGCCACGCGCUCAAGCCCAGCUCUUUUAAACAGCAGAACAGAUCCUUCCGGAAGCUACAUGGUCUGUUAAUAUUGUUUUAGGACCAAGUAAGUGAAGCUAUUUGGAAAUCAAUAUUUAAACAUUCUUAUGAAGUGAGCCAUAUGUCAAGUAAAAUGGGACAAAAGGAGUAGAAUCGUAAAAAAGAAAAUACAGAAUAUCUGUUUAUGGUGUUACUUCAUAUGUCUAUUUCCCUCUAGGCAAAGUUUUUUAUUAUUGUUGAUGUGAUUCCUUUUAUUCUGUUGUCAGUACCACCAGAGCAGGUAAGUAAUAAAUGAUUCUGAUUGUUGUUUUAUAUCCA